rnacentral:rRNA from 1 species
GUCGUAACAAGGUUUCCGUAGGUGAACCUGCGGAAGGAUCAUUAUUGAAUGAAUUUGGUGUGGUUGUUGCUGGCCUUCUUGGAGGCAUGUGCACACCUACCAUCCUCAUCUCUCCACCUGUGCACCUCUUGUAGAUUUGGAAUUGAUUAUCCGAGGCAACUCGGUCGUGAGGACUGCUAGCACCUAGCUGGCUUUCUUUGCAAUUCCAGGUCUAUGUUUUCAUAUACCCCAUUGUAUGUAACAGAAUGUAUCAUUGGGCCUUGUGCCUAUAAACCUUAUACAACUUUCAGCAACGGAUCUCUUGGCUCUCGCAUCGAUGAAGAACGCAGCGAAAUGCGAUAAGUAAUGUGAAUUGCAGAAUUCAGUGAAUCAUCGAAUCUUUGAACGCACCUUGCGCUCCUUGGUAUUCCGAGGAGCAUGCCUGUUUGAGUGUCAUUAAAUUCUCAACCGUUAUCAACUUUUGCUGAUAAUGGCUUGGAUGUGGGGGUUUAUUUUGCUGGCUUCUCAGAUAGUCAGCUCCCCUUGAAUGCAUUAGCCGGUGCCCCCGCGUGGACUGUCUUUGGUGUGAUAAUUAUCUACGCUAUGGACAUCUGCAAUCAUAUGGGUUUGCACUGCUUCCACAGUCUGUUAAAGACAAUACAUGACAAUUGACCUCAAAUCAGGGAGGACUACCCGCUG